AAUGGGGGAAACCCUGACGCAGCAACGCCGCGUGGGUGAUAAAGGCCUUCGGGUCGUAAAGCCCUGUCGGGAGGGAAGAAAUGAUUGUGAGCUAAUACCUCGUGAUCUUGACGGUACCUCCGAAGGAAGCACCGGCUAACUCCGUGCCAGCAGCCGCGGUAAUACGGAGGGUGCAAGCGUUGUUCGGAAUUACUGGGCGUAAAGCGCGUGUAGGCGGUCUUUUAAGUCUGAUGUGAAAGCCCCGGGCUCACCCUGGGAAGUGCAUUGGAAACUGGGAGACUUGAGUACGGGAGAGGAGCGUGGAAUUCCUAGUGUAGGAGUGAAAUCCGUAGAUAUUAGGAGGAACACCGGUUGCGAAGGCGGCUCUCUGGACCGAUACCGACGCUGAGACGCGAAAGCGUGGGUAGCAAA
rnacentral:rRNA from 1 species